GACAAUCACUGUGCCUGGAUGAAAAUCUCUUAGUUUUGACAGAUUGCAGGCUCCGGGAAGGCAAGAACCAAUUCUUAGACAUCUUUCUAUCCCCAUUCUAUUUUUUAUUGGCUAAAUACCUACUGACUGAAUUAAUACAUGAAUGGAGAUAUUUGGGGAUAUUCUGAAGGAGAGAAAUGUAGGAAAUCAGUGCACUGCUUACAAAUGCUAUUUCAGCUGAAGAAAUGGACUGCAAACUCACAGAAUGAGUUACCUCCAAGUUUAAGGCCACCUCAUGUUCUAAAAUAGCUGCUGGAGUGCCAGCGCUUAGCCACAAGACCAGAGGAAGAGAGACACAGCAAGAGAGGGAACACAACAGGAGUAGUG